GUACACAGUAUUAGGCAGCACAUAUACUAUAAUUGGAAUAAUACUUAGACGAUUAGCAUGGCCCCUGCUCAAGGAUGACAGACCCACAUCAAGAAUACUGUGCACAGAUUUU